GACAGAGGGUGCAAACGUUGCUCGGAAUUACUGGGCGUAAAGCGCGUGUAGGCGGUUUCGCAAGUCAGGUGUGAAAGCCCAGGGCUCAACCCUGGAAGUGCACAUGAUACUACGGAGCUUGAGUACUGAAGAGGAGAGCGGAAUUCCCGGUGUAGAGGUGAAAUUCGUAGAUAUUAGGAAGAACACCAGUGGCGAAGGCGGCCAACUGGCCCGAUACUGACGCUCAUGUGCGAAAGCGUGGGGAGCAAACAGG
rnacentral:rRNA from 1 species